rnacentral:rRNA from 1 species
GCGGCCUUCUAAGUCAGACGUGAAAUCCCCCGGCUUAACCUGGGAACUGCGUCUGAUACUGGGAGGCUUGAGUUUGGGAGAGGGAUGUANAAUUCCAGGUGUAGCGGUGAAAUGCGUAAAUAUCUGGAGGAAUACCGGUGGCGAAGGCGGCAUCCUGGACCAUUACUGACGCUGAGGCGCGAAAGCUAGGGGAGCAAACAGGAUUAGAUACCCUGGUAGUCCACGCCGUAAACGGUGGGUGCUAGGUGUAGGGGGUAUUCCACGCCCUCUGUGCCGCAGCUAACGCAUUAAGCACCCCGCCUGGGGAGUACGGCCGCAAGGCUAAAACUCAAAGGAAUUGACGGGGGCCCGCACAAGCAGCGGAGCAUGUGGCUUAAUUCGACGCAACGCGAANAACUUACCAAGGCUUGACAUACACCGAAAACUCGUAAAAAUACGGGGUCCGCAAGGGCGGUGUACANGUGGUGCAUGGUUGUCNUCAGCUCGUGUCNUGA